rnacentral:rRNA from 1 species
GCAUAUCAAUAAGCGGAGGAAAAGAAACUAACAAGGAUUCCCCUAGUAACUGCGAGUGAAGCGGGAAGAGCUCAAAUUUGAAAUCUGGCGGUUCCGCCGCCCGAGUUGUAAUCUGGAGAAGCGUUUUCCGUGCCGGACCGUGUACAAGUCCCUUGGAACAGGGCGUCAUAGAGGGUGAGAAUCCCGUCUUUGACACGGACUCCCGGUGCUCUGCGAUGCGCUCUCGAAGAGUCGAGUUGUUUGGGAAUGCAGCUCAAAAYGGGUGGUAAAUUCCAUCUAAAGCUAAAUAUUGGCGAGAGACCGAUAGCGAACAAGUACCGUGAGGGAAAGAUGAAAAGCACUUUGGAAAGAGAGUAAAACAGUACGUGAAAUUGUUGAAAGGGAAACGCUUGAAGUCAGUCGCGUCUUCUGGGACUCAGCCUUGCUUCUGCUCGGCGCACUUCCCAGUUUGACGGGUCAGCAUCGGCUCUGGGGGGCGGACAAAGGCGUGGGGAAGGUGGCAGCUCCGGCUGUGUUAUAGCCCCGCGCUACGCGUCCCCCGGGACCGAGGAAUCCGGCGCUCGCGCCUGGGAUGCUGGCGUAAUGGCUUUAAACGACCCGUCUUGAACCACGGAC